rnacentral:tRNA from 1 species
AUUUAUAUAGUUUAAAAAAUAUUACAUUUUCAUUGUAAAGAUAAAAAUUAAUUUUUUUAUAAAUA